CACUGAUAAGAAAUCAUCCCCAGUUUUCAAAUACCUAUCGGGCGGCUCAAUCUCUGAAGCUGGCACUCUUUUCAGCUUUCUUGUUGCUAUGUUAUACAAGGCUAGAUCUCGCUCAGAAUUUCGCAACGCAACCAACCCAUUACACGAACCGAUGGCUUCAGUCCCGCCACCCACAUGUAAAGGGUGUUCGAGGGAUUCCGCGGAGCCAAUGGCGGAAGCAGCAACAUCAAGAGAAUCAAAAUCGACGGUAUAGAGAUUCCAAUCUCGAAGGAUGAGAGAGAGAUUGGAUCUGGUAUGAAGUGAAUGGGAGAGAUGGAGUUGAAUGAAAUUUGGACCAUUAAUUAAUGAGCAGAGAGGUUUUGAUAAGCAUCGGAAGCGGAGAAGAGCCUUGAUAGGGAGCUGAAGGAGGAUGUCGUUGAUGAUAUCCUGAGGGACUUUGGACAUUUUUCCUUUCUGUCAGUGUUUGGCUGAGAGGAAAAUGGAAGGGAAAGAAGGAAGAGAGAAAAUAAGGAGGUGGAAACCAUAAAUAGAUUAGGUUUUUGAAAGGUGCUUCGGUUGGGGAAAGGAACAGAC
rnacentral:misc_RNA from 1 species